GCGUCAUCCCCCUGAGAACAGGAACAAGACAAGGGAGCCCACUCCCACCACUCUUACUGAACAUAGUACUGCAGGUUUGGGCCAGAGCAAUAGGCAAGAAAAAGAAAGAAAAGGAAUCCAAAUUGGCAGUGAAGAAGUGUAACUCUCACUGUUUGCAGACGACAUGAUUUUAUAUAGAGAAAACCCUAAAGAAGCCAUGGCGGGGCCGGCUCGGUGGCUGAGUGGCUAAGUUCACGCGCUCCGCUGAGGCAGCCCAGGGUUCGGAUCCUGGGCACGGACAUGGCACUGCUCAUCAGGCCACGUUGAGACGGCGUCCCACAUCCCACAACUAGAAAGACAUGCAACUAAGAUAUACAACUAUGUACCAGGGGGGUUUGGGAAAUAAAGCAGAAAAAAAAAAAAAAAAAAAAGAUUGGCAACAGUUGUUAGCCUAGGUGCCAAUCUUUAAAAAAAAAAAAAAGAAGCCAUGGGAAAACUAUUAGAAAUAAACAUCUACAGCAAAGUUGCAGGAUACAAAGUCUACUUACAAAAAUCAGUUGCAUUUCUCUACUCUAAUAACAAACUAACAGAACAAGAACUCAAGAAUAGAAUCCCAUUUACAAUCGCAACAAAGAGAAUAAAAUAUCUAGAAAUAGGGGUGACGUCAGCAACAUGGCAGCGUGAGCUCACCCAGGACUCUCUCCCCUCCAAAUUACAACUAAAAAGAGCAACUGCUUUCCAACCAAAAAAAAAAAAAAUCCCAAUAACAGAAAUCCUCACAGACCCACAGCAGCCAAACGACGGAAGGCAGAGAGGCUGGAGCCGCCCUCAGAGGAGCUGGAACGGGGUCUUCGCUCCCUCCCCUAGAGACUGGGAUCGCUGCCGUGGGUGUGAGAAGGAGCAAGGGAGGGGCCAUGCAUUGGGAGAUCGUGCAGGACUCCCACCGCUGGAGCAGCGGAAACCCUCUAACAGGGGACAGCUUUCGCGUGGGGGAACCCCAGCAAGCCAGGGCCCUGGGAGACCAGAGAGCGAGAGCUGUGCCAAUCCAGGUCGGCAUGAGAGAAAGUGUCCCUCCUCCCUCAACCCAUGCUGGGCGCCACCAUCGCGGCUGAAGGCGCAGGGCUCAGAACCAAGGCUCUCGACCCCCAUCUAGUGGCGACAGGCUGUACCUGCAACCAAAUAACAGCAUCAUGCGCAAAAACCUCUCCUCUACCAUCCAGCAAUUUAUAAAAGUUCC
rnacentral:lncRNA from 1 species